UAUUGCGAAUAUAUGUCAUUCUCAUCGGUUCGGAGCUGCUUCGACCACCUGCGAUGCGUCGUGUCGCAUUGAACGGAGGACUAUAACCAUAAUCCUGACUUCACAUAGCAUCAUGAUUCUUCCUUCAAAACCGAAUAGUCUAAUUCCUUCAGAAGAAACGAACUUCGAAUUUAGAUAAAUCAUGAGAAAAACAGCUCGGAAGGAUCGUUGGAAUUUACCAACGAGGACAUUCGCGUCGUGAUGAUUCAGAAAGAGAGAAGAGAGACAGGACGUAGAAUCCACGAGAUCCGGCAGCCUUUAUCGAAUACUAAUUAAGCAGCACGACUGAAAGUCGGAAAUCCUGUUUGCAACGACGAACGAGAGAAGGUAGAUGCUAAAUAUUAAUGACCAAUAUUCUUCAUUCCUAUGAGAAAAUUUUGUUGUAAAUAAAAUGCAGCAAUACAGCUGAAAAUAAA